rnacentral:rRNA from 1 species
CAAUAGCGGAGGAAAAGAAACCAACAGGGAUUGCCCUAGUAACGGCGAGUGAAGCGGCAACAGCUCAAAUUUGAAAUCUGGCCUCGGCCCGAGUUGUAAUUUGUAGAGGAAGCUUUUGGCACGGCACCUGCUGAGUCCCCUGGAACGGGGCGCCAUAGAGGGUGAGAGCCCCGUAUAGCAGGACGCCUAGCCUCUGUAAAGCUCCUUCGACGAGUCGAGUAGUUUGGGAAUGCUGCUCAAAAUGGGAGGUAAAUUUCUUCUAAAGCUAAAUACCGGCCAGAGACCGAUAGCGCACAAGUAGAGUGAUCGAAAGAUGAAAAGCACUUUGAAAAGAGGGUUAAAUAGCACGUGAAAUUGUUGAAAGGGAAGCGCUUGUGACCAGACUCGCGCCGGGCUGAUCAUCCGAGCUUCUGCUCGGUGCACUCUGCCCGGCUCGGGCCAGCAUCGGUUCUCGCGGGGGGAUAAAGGCCCUGGGAACGUAGCUCCUCCGGGAGUGUUAUAGCCCGGGGUGCAAUGCCCUCGCGGGGACCGAGGACCGCGCUUCGGCAAGGAUGCUGGCGUAAUGGUCAUCAGCGACCCGUCUUGAAACACGGACCAAGGAGUCAAGGUUUUGCGCGAGUGUUUGGGUGUUAAACCCGCACGCGUAAUGAAAGUGAACGUAGGUGAGAGCUUCGGCGCAUCAUCGACCGAUCCUGAUGUAUUCGGAUGGAUUUGAGUAGGAGCGUUAAGCCUUGGACCCGAAAGAUGGUGAACUAUGCUUGGAUAGGGUGAAGCCAGAGGAAACUCUGGUGGAGGCUCGCAGCGGUUCUGACGUGCAAAUCGAUCGUCAAAUCUGAGCAUGGGGGCGAAAGACUAAUCGAACCAUCUAGUAGCUGGUAC